rnacentral:sRNA from 1 species
GGCAGGAUCUGGGGCGAAAAGAUCAAGAGAUGGUGAACUGGAGACCAGUCUAAACACCCAAGGUUGUACCACAGAGGGAGACCUGCUGUUUGCCCAAAAGGAUUAAGCAGUUUUCAGCAGAGUGUGGCAAUGGACAGGAUCCAGCGUAUUGUAGGUGUUUUGCAGAAGCCACAGAUGGGGGAACGUUACCUAGGAACCUUGCUACAGGUAGAAGGGAUGUUAAAGACUUGGUUUCCACAAAUAGCUGCCCAGAAGUCAUCAUUGGGUGGUGGCAAGCAUCAGCUGACCAAGCAUUUUCCAAGCCACCACAGUGAUUCAGCUGCUUCCUCUCCUGCAUCUCCUAUGGAAAAGAUGGACCAGACACAGCUAGGACGUCUAGCUUUAAAACCAAAGCAGCCUUGGCACUUCACACAAUGGCCAGCUAUGAACCUCACCUGGAUCCACACCACUCCAAUUUGCAACCCCCCUCUCAGCUCCCCAGGUACUAUCUCCUUU